AUGAUGCUAAUUUUCACCAAAUCUUGGGUCGAAAUCUCAAAUUUCGCGGUGAUGAUGCAAGAUAAUCAGAGGCAACCAACAAGGAUCUCUAAUAUUACCAACACUGUUGGAAUAGAAUUCGAGGAUGGUGAUGAUCAACAAAGUUCGGAGACUUCAGAAAAGAUGAAGCAGGGAGCAUUGAAUCCUAGAUUAUGGAGAUUGAUGCAGAGGAGGCCAUGA